rfam:Thalassobium sp. R2A62 genomic scaffold scf_1112329232034, whole genome shotgun sequence.
GCUGUGGUAGCUCAGUGGUAGAGCACACCCUUGGUAAGGGUGAGGUCGGGAGUUCAAUCCUCCCUCACAGCA